GACGAACGCUGGCGGCGUGCUUAACACAUGCAAGUCGAACGAAGUGGCGAACGGGUGAGUAACGCGUAAUCAACCUGCCCUUCAGAGGGGGACAACAGUUGGAAACGACUGCUAAUACCGCAUACUUCCGGCGGGGCUUGCGUCUGCUUGGCUAGUUGGAGGGGUAACGGCCCUCCAAGGAGAUGACCAGUAGCCGGUCUGAGAGGAUGAACGGCCACAGUGGGACUGAGACACGGCCCAGACUCCUACGGGAGGCAGCAGUGGGGAAUCUGCCGCAAUGGACGAAAGUCUGACGGAGCAACGCCGCGUGAGUGAUGACGGCCUUCGGGUUGUAAAGCUCUGUUAAUCGGGACGCGGUACCGGAAGAGAAAGCCACGGCUAACUACGUGCCAGCAGCCGCGGUAAUAC
rnacentral:rRNA from 1 species